rnacentral:rRNA from 1 species
UAAACGAUGCUAACUCGUUUUUGGGAUUUAGGUUUCAGAGACUAAGCGAAAGUGAUAAGUUAGCCACCUGGGGAGUACGUUCGCAAGAAUGAAACUCAAAGGAAUUGACGGGGGCCCGCACAAGCGGUGGAUUAUGUGGUUUAAUUCGAUGAUACGCGAGGAACCUUACCAAGGCUUAAAUGGGAAUUGACAGGUUUAGAAAUAGAUCCUUCUUCGGACAUUUUUCAAGGUGCUGCAUGGCUGUCGUCAG